rnacentral:rRNA from 1 species
AUUGAACGCUGGCGGAAUGCUUUACACAUGCAAGUCGAACGGCAGCACGGACUUCGGUCUGGUGGCGAGUGGCGAACGGGUGAGUAAUGUAUCGGAACGUGCCCAGUCGUGGGGGAUAACGUAGUGAAAAUUACGCUAAUACCGCAUACGAUCUAUGGAUGAAAGCGGGGGAUCGCAAGACCUCGCGCGAUUGGAGCGGCCGAUAUCAGAUUAGGUAGUUGGUGGGGUAAAGGCCCACCAAGCCAACGAUCUGUAGCUGGUCUGAGAGGGCGACCAGCCACACUGGAACUAAGACACGGUCCAGACUCCUACGGGAGGCAGCAGUGGGGAAUUUUGGGCAAUGGGCGAAAGCCUGAUCCAGCCAUUCCGCGUGCAGGAUGAAGGCCCUCGGGUUGUAAACUGCUUUUGUACAGAACGAAAAGGUUUCUACUAAUACUAGGAGCUCAUGACGGUACUGUAAGAAUAAGCACCGGCUAACUACGUGCCAGCCGCCGCCGUAA